UACUAUGGAAAAUUAUGCAACGGAAGGAAUGCAUUGUCAUUGGCUGUAUCCAUUAAAAUACUCAUUUUCUUUUUCAGUAUCAUCCACAAGUUCUGUAACAGUUUCUGCUGAAGUUUGACCAGUAAAUUUUCUUUUUCUCUGCUAUCAAUCAAUAAUUUUUAUAAACUAAUCUAAAAUAUUGCAUUUACCUUUUUAACAGGUUGUGGAAUGCUGUGAUUGGUGUAUCAAUGGAUAAACAGCUGGAAACUAUACUGACAAAUCAUGAUGUCUGAUCCAUUCUAGAGGCUCUCUGCUAUGGCCUGGGAUAGCAGUAAAAGAUGGCCCAAGUCCUUGGACCCCUGCACCCACGUGGGAGACCCGGAGGAAGCUCCUGGCUCCUGUCUUCGGAUCAGCCCAGCUCCGGCCAUUGCAGCCAUUUGAGGAGUGAACCAUCGAAUGGAAGACCUCUCUCUCUGCCUCUCCUCUCUCUGUGUAACUCUGACUUUCAAAUAAAUAAAUAAAUCUUAUUUGUGACUCAACGUCAUAAAUAAGAGUAUCAAUUGAUAAGUCAACAACAGGAGUCACUGUGAACUUACUUCCCAUAUAGGACCUCUGUCUCUAAUGAGUUGUGCUGCGAGAAUUAAUGGUAAAACUUGCUCUCAAACAGUAUUUUAUACUUUGUGUGCCUGUGUGGGUGCAAACUGUUGAAAUCUUAAUAUAGAGUUGGUCUUCUGUAUAUAAAGAUAAUUAAAAUGAAUAUUAAUGAA